rnacentral:rRNA from 1 species
UACGUAGGUGGCAAGCGUUGUCCGGAUUUAUUGGGUUUAAAGGGUGCGUAGGUGGUUUUUUAAGUCAGUGCUGAAAUAUCCCGGCUUAACCGGGAGGGUGGCAUUGAUACUGAAAGACUUGAGUAAAGUUGAGGUGGGCGGAAUUGACGGUGUAGCGGUGAAAUGCUUAGAUAUCGUCAAGAACACCUAUUGCGAAGGCAGCUCACUAAGCUUUAACUGACACUGAGGCACGAAAGUGUGGGGAUCAAACAGG